rnacentral:lncRNA from 1 species
CCCAGUUUUGUUUGUGUUUUGUUUUCUUUUUCCAGAGACUACUACCAAUCUUGCUAAUGCGGUGUUUCUCACACUAAUGGUCCAAGGCCCAACUGCCUGAUUCACCUGAGCUGUGUGUAUAAAAUGGAAAUUUUUGCCUCCCCUGUCUCACUGCCAGACCUACUGAAUCAGAACCUCAGGGCAUAGAGUAAUCUGCACCGUCCUCAAGUACCCCAGGUGAUUCUUAUGCGCCCUCAGGUUUGAGAAAUCGUAGUUUAAUCUGCAGUGACAUUUUUGAGAAGAGAGCUCUUAGCAAGUAAUUUUGUUGAUCCCUGUCCAUCCCAACAUCCUCUAUCUGUGCUCUCUCUGUCCUUUCUUCCAUGUACACCUCCCAAAAGGAAAGGAUCCUGCUCAUUCCCAUCUCUGGAGGACAGAUCUCUACUAUCUACAGAGAAUUAGGAUAAUGGAAGCAGCAGUAAUUUCCAGAUUAGCCCUGAGCUAACUGCUGCUAAUCCUCCUCAUUUCUCUGAGGAAGCCUGGUCCUGAGCUAACAUCCGUGCCCAUCUCCCUCUACUUUAUACGUGGGACGCCUACCACAGGAUGGCAUGCCAAGCAGUGCCAUGUCCACACCCGGGAUCCGAACCAGCGAACCCCGGGCCUCCGAAGCAGAACGUGUGCAUUUAACUACUGCGCCACCAGGCCAGCACUAUUUAUAAUUUUUUAAAGAAAGGGAAGAGGAACCAGUACAAUCAAGGUCCAUUCUGAAUUCCAGCAGAAGAAUCGGGCAGAGGCUUUAGUGUUCAUAGCUGCAUUACUAUUGUAUUUCUUCAAUUCUAAGAUGCACAUUUUGUGGCAUUGUAAUGUUUCUAAAAUUGGGAUUGCAUCUUCUAAUCAAUGUACAAUUUAAUAUAGGAGGUUUUACCUCCUAGAAACAUCUUAUUAAAACAAAGAUAUGUCUUAAACUUGAUUGUGUCCCAGAAUCGAGGAAAUAAAGUAAUUAUGCUGCUGCCAUAGCAGACAUGACAGUUUUAAGACAAGAAUAGGUAAGCAACUAGGGAGUAGAGGCCAGGCCUUAGCAAAGCCACCAUGAUGGUCAUAACCUUAAAAGAUCAUGAGUUUUCUAUUAAUAGCUUCAUUGCCCCCAAGCCUCUGAAGCCUGUGGAUACAAGUAAGUCAAACUGCUUGGGCCCCACAUUUUGCUGGUUCUAAACCCUCAGUGCCGAAGCUUCAAGACUUCAGCCCCCGACCCCAGGUCUCCCCAGUGACUUCUGGGAAUCCUCUAUGCUCAGGGCCAGCCCUUCCAUUUGCUUCAGCUCUGUCCUUUCUGCAGAUGCCCUCUCUGUUCCCAGUGUAUCUCCUGGUACUAAAAAUCUGUGCAUCCUCCAGAUGUAAUUUCUUGCUAAAUCUUCAUGCUGAGUUAAG